GUGGGAGGCAAGGAAAGGGAGGCGUCAGGUCAGACCCCGAGAUCUUUCAGCUUGAGCAGCUGGCACACCACGCCAUUCCCUCCGUGCACUUGAGCGGGAGGAAAACAGGUUUGGGAGAAAAUCUCAAGAAGCUCCAUUUCCGCCACGGCGUCUGAAGUGCUAUGAAGCAGCAGGAAGGGGCUGUCUCGAAGGCAGGGACGUGAGUGAUUCACGCAGCCCCAUGGAACCAGACUGAUGGCCAUGAAUGACAGCGCUGGAGACCCCGACGUCACGAGGAGCACAGAUGGGGCUCUUGGACACGGGGAAGGCCCUGGACCACCCAACGUCCCUCUGCAACUGAGAAGUUUGACCAGAGCCGGGUGUGGUGGUGCACGCCUGUCACCUCUGCCACCCAGGAGACCAAGCAAGGAGGAUGGCAAGUUCAAGGUUGCCGUGGAUGGCCUGCUGGAUCUGCGGAAGACGGGACCCUGGCUCGCAGGGCUACAGCGGCUGCCCGCCCGUGCCACCCGCCCCGGUUCCCUGCCACCGCUUACUCCUCACCCCUAAUUCAGUCAUUGCCACGAGACCCAGGUGGUCUCUUCGCAUCCACACUGAGCUCCCUGUGUCAUUUUCACUAGGACCCCUGCUCAUCCCCCGCCUGCCCCUCGUUGUCCUUUAAAACAGUCCGUCACCUCUGCACAAAUGGGCAUGGAGCUGGUCCUCCGAACUACCAGCACUUAAUGAAUAAAGUCUGGCUUCAG